rnacentral:piRNA from 1 species
UCCUGCUAUGAUGAUGCUCAGCUACC